rnacentral:rRNA from 1 species
UACGUAGGGUGCAAGCGUUAAUCGGAAUUACUGGGCGUAAAGCGUGCGCAGGCGGUUCGCUAAGACCGAUGUGAAAUCCCCGGGCUUAACCUGGGAACUGCAUUGGUGACUGGCGGGCUAGAGUAUGGCAGAGGGGGUAGGAAUUCCACGUGUAGCAGUGAAAUGCGUAGAGAUGUGGAGGAAUACCGAUGGCGAAGGCAGCCCCUGGGCCAAUACUGACGCUCAUGCACGAAAGCGUGGGGAGCAAACAGG